AACUACAAUACAACAGCAAUGACGUGAAUUAUACAAAUACGCCAACAGGCACACAAAACAUGUAUUGUACAGUAUUUUUUUUUAUAAAACCCUUAAAAUCUAAACAUCACAUAUAAUAAGCAAAUGAAAAUAAAAUAGAAACAAUAUCCAUUCGUCCCCUAAUUGUAAAGCGAACAAUAGAAUACCAAAUGGCUCAUACAUUUUUCACAAUAACAUGGUCUCCAUAUAUCAAGUUUCUGGAGAAAGUUAUCUGCACGUUCUUUCACCGCGAAUGUGGAUAUUCUUGCCAGUUCUAUGACGCUUCCAGAUACACGAACUACGAUAAACGCAAAAAUGGAUCGCAUAUUUCCUUGCCUGGGAAAAAAUACGUGACGACACCUUUCGACUCUUUGAACGAAUUACCAACUGAUGUAUUCCGUUGCACUGAUCUCGAAGAAAUAGGUCCCCCGCCCGGGGCGGGAAAAUGCAGAGUAUACAAGAAUCCGGAAUAUUUUGCAUUCCAUAACUUGACUUACUAUGAUUUGCAUCACAUCUUACGAAAAUUUAGGAAUCCAUCUAUGAAAACCGGACGAAAACCUUAAACCCAAACAACCUAAAACCUUGUCUUUAUAUUGGACAUCUUGGCUUGUUUGUGUUUAAAUGGGCACUCAUUAGUUACUAUGUAAAAGUGUGUAAUUUAUCCGAUAAUAUUAGCAACAAGUCUAAAUAUUUGGAUAAUUCGAACUAGAUUUCAGAAAUUGGACACUCACGUGUCCGGUGAGUUAAAGUGGGAGUAUUGAUUUAUAUUUAUUUCGUCAUCUGGCCAUGCUGAGAAUUUUCGCCUGUUCAGUCGGUUACGUUAAACAGAUAUAUUUUUUGUUAAAACUAACUCAACAUGAAGUCGAAUUUGCUUAUGAUCAAAAGUAUUUUAAUACUUUAAAAUAGACAUUUGCAUGGAAAAUUACAGCUUGAGUUAAGUGAUAACAAAAAUAUUAAAUUAAUUUAGUUAAUUAUGGUAACCAUAUGAACAUGCCUAGAAAUCUGCGAAUGUGGUAAGUUGACGAAACAAACAUUAUAUCCAAUAUGAUGUCGAUUUCAAUUAGAGACACAUUUUUUAAUUCUCUAUUUUCAUAGAUAUACCCAAAUAUUUAACGACUUUAUCCGUCACGAUGGAGCCAUAGCCUGAUAUUUCACCCUCUAUAAAAACAAUAAAAAGUGAAUCAG